ACUGUUUACUAACUACAUUCAACUCUUUAUUUGCUCCACAGAGAGGCUUCUGGCAUAGUAGAAGCCAGCAGAUUACUAACAAGAGCACUGGCAAGCUUCUUUACAUAGGUAGAAACCAAGUAAAGGUACUAUAAUACAUCAGGGUAUUUAUAAAGUAUAAUUUUCUGAAAGCUGUGCAAAUGGAAAACAAAGAUAUCAUUACACUAUAAAAUAUGCCCAGAGACAAAAUGUAACCAUAACGUUGAUACUGAUUCUCCUGAGAGUUUCUUCCAGUCCCAGUAGCAUCCUAGAAAUCUAUGGCUAUUGAAGCAGAAAAGAAAAGACAAUUUACAGCAGCAUGAUGUAAAUUUCAUAGAGUAAGCAGCUGCCGCAGACGUUUCAGUCUACGGGAGAAGAUCUUCACUCUCUGAUGAAGCUGCUUUCUUUCCAUCAUACCGCUGCUUCCCAAAAGAGAAUGGCAGAUAUUUAUAUUUCAACAUGUGUCGUAUUUGUCUUCUCAUUGUAAGUGUGAACAGCACAACCCAAUAGAAAACGAGAAUCGGCCAAAAUACAGGCACAUCCAAUACACUGAAAAAUGUUAACACAAAUGCAAUGCAGAACGCCUUGGUAAUUGAGUACCAGAAUUUGAAUUCAGGAAGGCGACGAACGAAA
rnacentral:misc_RNA from 1 species